rnacentral:rRNA from 1 species
GACGAACGCUGGCGGCGUGCUUAACACAUGCAAGUCGAACGACGUGGCGAACGGGUGAGUAACGCGUAAUCAACCUGCCCUUCAGAGGGGGACAACAGUUGGAAAAGACUGCUAAUACCGCAUACUGAAGGUGGGGAGUGCGUCUGAUUAGCUAGUGGGCGGGGUAACGGCCCACCAAGGCGAGUGUCAGUAGCCGGUCUGAGAGGAUGAACGGCCACAUUGGGACGUAGACACGGCCCAGACUCCUACGGGAGGCAGCAGUGGGGAAUCUGCCGCAAUGGACGAAAGUCUGACGGAGCAACGCCGCGUGAGUGAUGACGGCCUUCGGGGUGUAAAGCUCUGUUAAUCGGGACGCGGUACCGGAAUAGAAAGCCACGGCUAACUACGUGCCAGCAGCCGCGGUAAUAC